CCUACGGGAGGCAGCAGUGGGGAAUAUUGGGCAAUGGGCGCAAGCCUGACCCAGCAACGCCGCGUGAAGGAAGAAGGCCCUCGGGUUGUAAACUUCUUUUAUCAAGGACGAAAGAAAUGACGGUACUUGAUGAAUAAGUCACGGCUAACUACGUGCCAGCAGCCGCGGUAAUACGGAGGUGGCAAGCGUUAUCCGGAUUUACUGGGUGCAAAGGGCGUGUAGGCGGGUCGGCAAGUCAGAUGUGAAAACCACGGGCUCAACCCGUGGACUGCACUUGAAACUGGAGUUCUUGAGUGUUGGAGAGGCAGGCAGAAUUCCGUGUGUAGCGGUGAAAUGCGUAGAUAUACGGAGGAACACCAGUGGCGAAGGCGGCCUGCUGGACGAUAACUGACGCUGAGGCGCGAAAGCGUGGGGAGCAAACAGGAUUAGAUACCCUUGUAGUC
rnacentral:rRNA from 1 species